UUAGCAUAUCAAUAAGCGGAGGAAAAGAAACCAACAGGGAUUGCCCCAGUAACGGCGAGUGAAGCGGCAACAGCUCAAAUUUGAAAUCUGGCUUCGGCCCGAGUUGUAAUUUGCAGAGGAUGCUUUUGGUGCGGUGCCUUCCGAGUUCCCUGGAACGGGACGCCACAGAGGGUGAGAGCCCCGUAUGGUCGGACACCAAUCCUGUGUAAAGCUCCUUCGACGAGUCGAGUAGUUUGGGAAUGCUGCUCUAAAUGGGAGGUAAAUCUCUUCUAAAGCUAAAUACCGGCCAGAGACCGAUAGCGCACAAGUAGAGUGAUCGAAAGAUGAAAAGCACCUUGAAAAGGGGGUUAAACAGUACGUGAAAUUGUUGAAAGGGAAGCACUUGUGACCAGACUUGGGCCGGGCGGCUCAUCAGGGGUUCUCCCCUGUGCAUUCCGCCCGGUACAGGCCAGCAUCGGUUCUUACCGGGGGAUAAGAACGGCAGGAACGUGGCUCCCUCUCGGGGGAGUGUUAUAGCCUGCCGUACGAUACCCUGGCGGGGACCGAGGUUCGCGCUUCCGCAAGGAUGCUGGCGUAAUGGUUACUAGUGACCCGUCUUGAAACACGGACCAAGGAGUCGUCCAUUAGAGCGAGCGUUUGGGUGUAAAACCCGCACGCGUAAUGAAAGUGAAAUUAGGUGAGAGCUUCGGCGCAUCAUCGACCGAUCCUGAUGUUCUCGGAUGGAUUUGAGUAAGAGUUUUAACGGACGGACCCGAAAGACAGUGAACUAUGCUUGUAUAGGGUGAAGCCAGAGGAAACUCUGGUGGAGGCUCGCAGCGGUUCUGACGUGCAAAUCGAUCGUCAAAUAUGAGCAUGGGGGCGAAAGACUAAUCGAACUGUCUAGUA
rnacentral:rRNA from 1 species